AAGAAGGAAAGAAAGACAGACAGACAGGAAGGAAGAAAUAAAGAGAGAAAGAAACUCAUGUAGCUUUCAAGAGUAAUACAAUCAAUAAAGAAGACAGAAACUUAAGACUGACAGCUGCAGAGACCGUGAAAUUCUCCUGGUUGUUUAAAGGCAGUCCUGAUGGAACAUCAGUUGUCUGUAUCGAUGUGGUUGCUAUAGCCAUGGGUUAACUUUCUGAAGAAUCAAGCUUCUUCGUUUUCAGUUAUUUAAAGACAAAGAUACACAGCCUUACUGGAGAAGAGAACGUGAGGCUUGGAAUACAGUUAAAGACGCCAUGCACUAAUCUCUGUUGAACCCCUGCAAAUUCACAGAAAGAUGGACUGUCGUGGGAAGAUGUGACCAGGGAAGAAUGCACGGUUUUUACGGACAAAUGUUUAUCUAGAUCCAAAUGAGCUCCCCAGGCUUCAGCAUGGCUCCUUGUUUCCUGUUAGAUCUUUCUAAAAAUAUCGUAGCUAGAAAACAUUCAAGGCUAAAUCAAGAGCAAGAAAAUCUCGCCCCUGAGGAAGACGCUGGAAGCUGCACAGAACUAGCAUCAGCUCAGAACUCAUCAUCUCACGCACGGAUUCCUAAGCACAUUUUCGCAUU